CAGCUGCAGAGAAACUGGCCCCCCUUGUUGUUAUUGAUGGGCUUUGGUCUGCUAGAAAGUAAGAAGAUACAGGAUGAAACUCAUCAGUUCUUCCAGGAAAAUGACUUAGAAUUGGAUAAAUAAAAAUAUGACAAUGACCAUAAUAAAAAGGGCAGUACGACAAUACAUGACCCACAGUCUCCACUAUGAAACUGGAUUGUUUCUGCAGUUGUGUUUUGGACCUUAGUCAAGCCCAAAAUGGAGGACUUUUGGGAACUCCUCCUGGACACAAGGUGGAAAUGUAGGACACUUCCUGGGAAAAGAGGACUCUCAUAGGGGAAAGGAGUACAAGGCACCGCAAAAACAACAAUGAGGUGAAAAACACUAAGCUCCAAGAGCCCACUUGGCCAAAAGGGAGGAAUGGCCUUUGCAUACAUGGAUAUCCCAUCUUAAGCGACAAUAACAUCUCAACAAGAAAAAUCUUUGGCAGGGACAAUAAUAUGUGAUCCAUUCAAGAGAGUGGGCCAAAUGGUAGAAAGGAGGAGGAAAAGCUGAUGGGAGAGGAUGGAUUCAUGUUGGAAGAUGAGAAGAUCCCGAAAGAACCAUCCAAGAGGCUCCAGAGGGAGCCAUCCAUGAAGAGUCUGACCCCCAAAUGUCUCACUGCUUCCCAAAUGCAGCUCUAUAAGGUUGAGCAGGUUUGCCUGUAAAGAAUGGAUAGAUGGAUAAAAACGCAUUUCCUCCAAACUCUCUUCCUUCUUACUGCCACUGUGACCCAUGGCUCCUUUCCUUUGGACUCACGUCUUCCAAACCAGCUACCAAGUCUGGUUUGCUUGCUGGUCUGUAUAACUUAAGAGAUGACUCCAGUCAAGUGAAGCUGCAUGAAACUCUCCUUAUGGCCAGAAGAUACGAAUGGCUGAAGCUGUGCACUUUCAGAUGCUCGAGUUGGGCUGGCUUCAUCACCAGGGAAGAAACUUUGCUCCCAGAAAUGUGAGUAUUCUCAGUCCUCCAGGCGAGUAUUCUUCACUUCACUUCUGCUCCCAGGAUUCAUCCUCUAAUUUUUGUGGAUACUGACACCUGUGCAUUGAUGCUUCUUUUCCUCCAUCUUGCAGACGGGUGAUAACAAAAGGACUGAAGUAUACAAGAAGGACCUAGUAGACAAUAAAGUUGGGUAUAUCUGAGCACAGCAUCCCAUCACUCACAAGGUGAAGAAAAGGUUUUGGUUCUAAAAUUUCUGGAAGCCAUUUGCAACCUCACCCUUCACUUUUAAAGUACUAUAAACACUGCAUAAUAAAUUGUUUUCAUUGUGGUAUAUCAGGAUCCUGUGGGUGACUGAAGAGAGGUCAUCAAGAAAGACCUUGAAUUUGUGUAAACAUCUCAACAAAAAUGAACUUAAUUGAAACUAUCACUAAAUGAUGUCUAGCACAGCAUCCCAUCACUCAUUACAAGUAUAUCAGGCUCCUGCAGGUGAAUGAAGAGAGGCCAUAGAGAAAACACAUGAAUUCAUGAAAACAUCUCAACAGAGGUCAACUUCAAAGGAAAGUAUCAGAAGCAUCCAGUCAGAUCUUCAGAAGAAUGCAGAGGAUGAAGACAUGCCUAAGCAAAGUUGCAGCUGAGGAAGGAAGACUCAGAUUAAAUAGUCAGCCAGGAAAAGAAACCACAUCCUCUUCCUCAAACCAGGUCUCCUAAGUUUCCAUCUGGAAUGAGGACCACAUCUGUAGCCCAUUUUUUGUGCUGCUGGAGGAAUGAUGGAAGGAGCUCUGGUCGAGUCUGAGCCAUCCCUGAGCACCAGGGAAGCCUUGGCAGGAUCUCUUCCUCUCAGCCCUUCUCCAUGCAAUCGCCUACAAACAGGUAAGGUUCCAGAGCUCUGCUCCAUCCAAUGCGACAAAGUAUCUGAAGAGAAUGUCCAUUAAAACACAGGUGAAUAUUCCUUCCCCUGACCUGAAGCCCCUUUUGUUGAAUCAAUCUCUUGCAAUAGUCAUGCAUGAUCUGUCAGUAUGCCACAUCUAGCAAACAGGAAAGAUGGCAAGAUGAUGGCAGGGUCAAGCAGACAACAUUGCAUUUUCCAAAACACUGCAAGAAGUGACUUUCUACAAACCCAAGCCAUUUGGUGGUGGUGGUGGUUCAGUUUUUAGGAGUUUGCUUCUUUCCUGUAUUAAGAGGACAUGGAAAGGUAUUCUAGGGCACAAAAUAGUUUUAUUGUUGCUGAUAUGUUGAGGAUGGACCUCCACAAACCUAUGGGGAAAUGACUAGAAAAUUUUUGCUAGAGAAAAUGCAUCAGAAUGACCUAAGAACAGAAACUAUCAGCCUAGUCUUGACUGGUCUGACUGCCAGUAAAAGCACAAUUCCAACUUUUCUCCAAACUCUCUUCUUACUUAAUGCCAUUGUGACAUCCACACUACAUCUCCUUUCAUUGGAAUCACUUCUUCCAAACCAGCUCCAAAGCAUGGUUUGCUUGCUGGUCUGCAUAACUUAAGAGUGAAUCAAGUGAAACUUCAUGAAAACCUCCUUAUGGCCGGUAGAUAUAAACAGCUAAAGCUAUGUUCCUUCAAAUGCAGCAGUUGGGUUGGCUUCAUUACCAGGGGGGGAAUCUUUGCUCCCAGAAACAUGGCCAUGGCUAUCCAGGUAGACUUAGUCCUCCAGGUGAGUAUUCUCCACUUCACUUCUGGUCCCAGAGCCCUUCCUCCAUUUUUUGUGCAAACUGACAGCUGUGCAUAGAUCCUCCGCACUCCUCUCCUCCAUCUUGUAUACUUGGAUGACAACAGAAGGACUGAAGCUCCAGUAUACAAGAAAGCUGAGAAUAUGUAGGCGCAGCAUCCCAUCAUGCACAAAAAGGUGAAGCAAAAGGUUUGAUCCUAAAAUUUCUGGAAGCCAUUUUCAAUCUCAUCCUUUUCUUUUCAGGCACUAUAAAUACUGUGUAAUAAAUUGUUUUCAUUGCUGCAUAUCAGGUUCCUGCAAAUAAAUGAGGAGGGGUAAUUGAGAAAGCCCGUUAAUCCAUACAAACAUUUCAGCAGAUGUUAACUUCAAAGAAACUAUUAUAAGGCAAGUGAGGUAGAAGGAUGAAACCUGUGAAUGCAGAACGUUUAAGAAGGAUGGAGAACAUCUCAACAGAAUUUAACUUCAAGGAAACUGUCACAAGGUAAGUGAUGUCCAGAAAUGAACCCUAAGGAUGCAGAAAAGGGCUUAUUCUGUGAGCCUUAAAGUAAGAAGGAAUGUUUGGCCUGAGCAAGAGUUGGCAGGUUGGUGGUCUGUGGUCCUUGCUGACAUGCCCAGGGUAGCACUGACCGCCACUUUUGGGGUUGGGAAGGAAUUUUCCUCCUGAGCAGAUUGGCCAGAGAUCCUGGAGGUUUUUCGCCUUUCUCCAGGCAUCCAGCAGCAUCCACCUGUUAGGAUGUUUGAAAAAUCAAUGUAUUUUGUUACUGUUGUUAACUGCCUUCAAGUCGAUAUUGACUCACGGUAGCCCCAUAGAUGAAACAACUCCAAGCCCCUCCAUCUUCAACCAUUCUGCAUACUUUUUAGGCUUUCGGCUAGCUUCCUUAACUGAGUCUAUCCAUCUGGUAUCUGGUCCACCUCUUUUUCUCCUACCCUCUAUCGUUCCAAGCAUUAUUAUCUUCUCUAGUGAGUCGUGCCUUUCCAUAAUGUGACCAAGAUACGACAGUCUUAGUUUGCCCCUCCUGGCUUCUAGGGAAGAGUUCAGACUUGAUUUGUUCCCUUAUCCAUGCCUUCCUGACCAUACAUGGUAUCCUCCGCACUCCUCUCCAGAACGACAUCUCAAAUGAGCUGAUUUUCUUUCUAUCAGCUCUCUUCACUGUCCAACUCUCACAUCCAUAGAUGGUGAUGGGAAAUACAAUGGUAUGGAUGAUGCUUACUAGUGUUCAGUGUUAUAGCUUUGCAUUUUAUGUUGUCUAGUUCUUUCAUAGCUGCCCCUCCCAGUCCUAAUCAUCUUCUGAUUCCUUGACUGCAAUCUCCAAUCUGAUUGUUGAUGGAUCCAAGCUAUGAGAAGUCUUUGCCUUUUUCCAUGUCAUCAUUUUCUAGACUGAAUUUAUGUAAAACCUCCAUGACCAUUACUGUUGUAAAAACCUGCCAAGCUGAACUCAGCCGAGAACGACAAGUCUCUGAAAGAAAAUUAAUAAAAGAUAUACAUAGGGAAUUUUUGAAGCCCAUUUUCAAAAGAAGAAAUGCUACAAGGUCUUCAGAGAUCCAAAUAAGAAAACUCUUACCAUUUGGAAAUGGGGUGUAGCAAGAUGUCGAAUAUUAUUCACUGCAAAAUGAUACUCCAGUAAAAAUUAGCUGAUGCAUUUUUUAAAAACCCUGCUUGCUAAAAUGUAAUUAGAUAACAGCAUUGUUCUCUAAAUUUAAAAUAAAAUUUAGAAGAAACAUCAUGCUGUCAAGACAGGAUGGCUUUUCCUUGAUGAAGAUGGAGCCUAGAGGAUGCCAGCAUGUCUUCUACAUGGAGAGAUGGAAAGAGGGAGCCUCCCCAUUUUCUUGCACAAGGAAGGCCCUUGUCGACAUGCCCAGGGUAGCACUGGCCGCCACUUUUGGGGUCGGGAAGGAAUUUUCCUCCAGGGCAGAUUGGCCAGGGAUCCUGGAGGUUUUUCGCCUUCCUCUGGGCAUCCGGCAGGGGUCACCUGUUAGGCUGUUUGAGAGAUUCAUAAGAAUUAAAUGAAGCUUAUAACUUACUUGCCAAACUGAAGAUGGCAAAUAGACAUAACAACCAUAAUGCAAAAUGAAUAAAAAUCAGAACCUUGGAAAUA